UAAUUUCUCAACCCCUCUUGAUUAGCUUCGAGGGGGAGUUUGGAUAGUGGGGGUUUGCAGGAAACUUGGGCUUUGGCUUUCUAGUUAAAGUCUAGGAUUCGGGCUCUCCUGAAAUACAUUGGCUUUCGGUCGACUUUCGACUUUGCGUGACAAGGCUUUCGGCGUGAUAAUGAUCGCCGUGUGCUGAAGCGCAUGACUGUAAGGUUCCGUGCCUCUAAUAUGUCGACCAACUCAGUUGGUCUUCCUUAAUUGACU
rnacentral:misc_RNA from 1 species